CUCUGCCUAUGAGAGAAGUUACAGUGCCUUGAUAAUGGAAAGAGGAGGUAAGAGGACCACCAGUUGACACACAAAUGGCACUGGUUCUGACCUUAUCGCUGGACGUGGGAAAGAGGGCAGAGAGCAUUUGGUCUAGUGGUUAAACAGACUGUAAAGCCAUACUAUUUGCUCUGCUCUUCACUAGUCCUGUGACCAUGGGCAGAUUAAUUCUCUGCCUUCGUCAUCUGUAAAGGGGAGAUGUUGAGAGUCCCUACUGUUACAGGGCCAUUACGAGGCCUCAAGUUAUGUAGAGCCCUUCUAAAGUUCUCGCACAUGGAUGGUCCUCUCUCGGCAUUCAUGUUCUUCUUAAACUAGCUGAAGGCCUGGGGUGUGUGUGUGUGUGAGAGGUGUCAGAGCUGCCAUCUGGGCCAAGCUUUUUCACACUUCUCCCACUGCUCAAAGAAAAUGAGGGGCCACAAAAACCUGGGACCUUCUGCCACAGGGGGAGGAGCAGUGUGUAGCAGAGGACACAUCGUGGGCUCACUGGCCUGGUGGUGGGAGGCCUGGGCCUGGCCCUGGCCCUGACUGCCCACAGGAUCUUUGGUAGAUCAGAGUUACUCCCACUAAGCUCACAAACCCAAGGGUCCCCCACCCAUCCUCAUCCUCAAAGAGCACAAAGCAAUACAACCUACCACAUGCUGCUAAACACCAACCUGGGCACUGCAGGUUUGGAGUUUUCUUGGAGGUGUUUCCAUCUCUCACUCACUUGGUGGAGGCUAAGCUUUUGAGAUCUGGGAAAGCAGACCCACCACCCCCUGCAGGCCUGCAGAAGUGGGACAAGAGGAGGACGCAACACCACUUCUGCACUUUCAGAGCCCGAGAGACUUGCAGUCAAGGAAAUGUUUCUGAGGUCAUUGUUCAAUGAGCAUGAAGUAAGCAUCCCGGAAAUAGUCUGCUUAGAGGGGACGAACUGCAGUGGAAUGGGACCACAAGUGGUCUUGUGGAACAAGACCAGGUUCAAAGGCAAUUUCAGAGGCUGUCCAUUAGGAUUUGGAUGGAGCAGGGAAGAGAAGGCAGGAGCCUUUGAAUAAAUGGAAACUGCCUCCGCUCUACCCACAACUCCCACUUGGUUAUGCUUACACAUGAAUGAGACUAAGAAACUGAGGCCCAGAGAAUGAAGCAACAGUUAAAAGAGCGAAGCACUUAACAAACUUCAAGUCCGUAGGUGCCUUUUCUCCGGCUGUCAUGUUCCCCGGGCCAGGCUCCCUCCAGGAAUUCAGUUGAGCAGCCAGCCACGUCAAAAAGACUUGCAAUACGGUCUGGCGCGGUAACAGCAGUCACAGAGGACUGUGGCUUUCCACCUGAGGUCCCAAUGAGCACUUAAAAAAAAGAGAGAAAUAAAAGAGAAAAUAUCAGAGUGCAUCCAACAUACUGGAGCAACCACGCUGCAGUCCUCUUGGCCACAGCGGGAAGACAGCAGGCCUACCAAGUGGGAGAAGGAAUCGAACACCAGUGGAACUGCAGGACAUGGCCAGUGAGUCCAGCAGGAGUUGGAGAAUUGACAUGGGACUGGAUUCUCCUUGUGUUGCAUCAAGGGAGGCAAACUGUGAAGUUGGAUGAAGGAGAGUGGAUUGAAUUGGGAGCACUGCUAUGUGGUACAGGAUGUAACACCCUGGCAAGGAGCAGGCAGUGGUAUUAAUGCUCUACUUGGUUGGCUCAUGGAAGCUUAGAAAAAGCAAUGGCUUGCACUAAAUGAAACAGAACUGCCAGCACUGCCAUGGCAAAUAGUGGGUGAAGGGAUCAAAAGACUCAGAGAAGUGGGCAUGCUGGUGUAGACAGGCUAAUGAGGACAGAAAACCCACCAGGCGGCUGUGGUCCACAAGAUGACCUGAAGAACAUUCUAUUUUUCCCAAAUGAUAAGGAAUGUGCUAGUGAAUAUGGCCACCAGCAUGGGUAAAAAGUCCAGUGGCUGCUCCUCUCUAGGCCAGGGCUGAUGGGAGAUGCCCGUGCAGAAAGAAGUACGCUUCUAAUUCUGAUGAGGAUGACAGAAUCUCAAAAUAAUAGAGGCCAGUGAUGGCACGCCACUGGCAGCAGCAAGGUGGGUAAGAUUACUAUAAUACAUGACAAGAACAGUUGUAAUUCACAGCAGCCAGAGGAGUCUGUUCCCAUAGAGAAUUAUGGAGAUGGUAUUAGAACAUAGUAUUCCUAGGGGGCAAGAUAUAGCUUAAUUUAUACAACUAGAGGGAAUCAGAUGGAUGAUAAAGGCUCAAGGCAGCCAUCCCAGUAAAAAAUUAUGAUCAGUUGCCCAUCAGACCUCUGACUGAAGGGAGGCUGAGCUGCAUAAGGAAGGAUCCUACAAUGUCAUGGCAAAUGUAUAUGGUAGUGAUGGUCCCUCUCCAAAUGGACCUCUAAAGGGACCUCAGAAGAAAGGAGAAUAACCAGAUAUUUCAAGGCCUGUUGGACACAGGAUGAGUUAACACUGAGAAGCAGAGACCUGAAGUAUCAUCAUUAUGGAGCCCAGCUCAUACAUGGCAUCCUGGGCCAGGCCAAGUCAUAGUGGACCCACUGUGCCCAUAGAUCCACCUGAUGCUCAUUUCCCUGAUCCACAAAUAGAUCACUGGAAUGGACAUGUUUCCCAAUCAGAAUAACCCCAUAUGGUCCUCAGCCUGUGGGGAAGAACCACUGUAGGGGGAAAAGUCAAGUGGAAGCCUCUGAAACUGCCUCCCCGACCAAAAUAGUAUGUCAAAAACCAUAUUCCAUCCCAGGGGGGAUUGGCCUAACAAAUUAGCGUCACCCAUAAAGAUGAAAGAAUGUGCAGGUAGAGGUGCCUAUCAUACCCCCUUUUAAAUCACAUCUGGUUCCUGCACAAACCAGAUAUAUCCUAGCAGAAGGCAAGUAGACAACUGUAAACACAACCAAAGGGUAGCCCCAGUGGUUGGUUAUCACGGCUUUGCCUGAGAGGUAUCCAGAUGUUUCUUGGUUGAGCUUAACAGGCUAUCAGGAAUGCAGUACGCAGUCUGAUCUGGCAAAUGGCUGUUUUGCAUCCCGAUCAGGGGCCAUUUACAAUCUUGCCCCAGGGUAUAACUCUCCCAACCUCUGGUUGUUGUCAAAAAUGCCUUGGGGUGGAAUUAGGACCCCUGAGAGCAAGUCUGGGUUAGGUUAAAAAAAAAAAAAAUCUUGCAGGGUGAAGAGCAGGAGUAGACCAACUAAAAGUGUUUACAGAGAAUUGCAGUCAUAUGCAACAUAAUGUUGAGCUCCCUUUUGGAACACAAGCUCUGGGAAUCUGUACUCAUUUCUGGUACUCCUUUCCUCCCUCAGGAUGGACUGGGGCAAGAGACCUUGGAAGCAAUGAAAGGGGUUACUUCCACAAGCCUCCUAGCCUCUCUCCAAGACCGACUUGGCCCACUUUUUGACCCCGUCCUGCAGAUUUUGCAUUUAUUGUACCUUCCUUCCCAGCCAUUCCAAACAAGAGACUUGCUCUUUCUCACCUAAAACUAAGCAGGGACCUCCAACUUCUUCCACCUGUUGGCCCUUAAACUCCACUUGCUGCAUCACAGGUAUCUUAGGAAUCCUUGACCCUCAGCCUCUAAGGCUCUCAGCCUGUGCCUCCCACAAUUGACCUGUGAGUCCAGCAGACCCCCACAGGUGCCUCAGAGCUGCCCAAGUUCCUCUAAAAUAAUUUUUUGUAUGUAUAUAUGUAUUGAUGUAUUGUAUUUAAAAAAAAUUUUUUUUUCACUGUUUAUUUUUGAGAGGCAGAGAGACAGAGCACAAGCAGGGAGGGGCAGAGGGAGAGGGAGACACAGAAUCCGAAGCAGCUCCAGGCUCUGAGCUGUCAGCACAGAGCACGACACGGGGCUUGGACUCACGAACCAUGAGAUCAUGACCUGAGCCAAAGUUGGACGUUUAACCGACUCAGCCACCCAGGUGCCCCUAUUUAUGUGUUGUAAAGAAUCUUUCUUCCUGGAGAAAGCUUCAAUUCCAGGCCCGAGUAAUCCUUCAGGCAGCCUGGGUCACAAGUUAUGAUGAACAGGAACGUCUCUGGGUAUUUAACAUUCUAAGGCCUCUUCUUGUAGAAUCCCUUCCUUCACCAUUUUUGGGCAAGUAUUUGAGUUCCCACCGUAUGACAGCCACUGUGCUUGAGCUGAGAGUAUCAGGAUAGCAUCUAGACUUUCAGCUGACUUCUCACCAGCAAGAUCGGAAGCCAGAAAAUGAUGGAAUAUACCCAGUGCUCUGAGGUGAAAUGACGGUGUGUCAGGGCUCCUUCAGGUUCAGCAAUUCACCAGGAGGUCUCACAGGACUCAGCGUAUAGUCGGACUCAUUCAUUAUAGUAAAAAGACAUAAAGCAAAACAAAAAACAAGCAAACAAACAAACAAAAACAAACAACAAAAAAGGAAAUGGUGCGUGGGGCACAGUCCAAAGGAAACCAGGUGCAAGCUUCCAAGAGUCCUCUCCCAGGGGAGUCACACAGGACACGCUCGAUUCUUCCAGCAGAGUUGUGACAACAUGUGUAAAAUGUUGUCCACCAGGGAAGCUCAUUAGAGGCUCGGGGCGUAAGAUUUGUACUGGGAACUGGGAACGUAGGCACCUCUGUCUAGCACAGAUCAAAAUUCCAGACUCCCAGUAGGAGAGCAGAUGUUCAACAUAGACCAAAUGGUACAGUUUCGACACAGUAAGCCAUUCUUGUCAGUCAGGGAAUGAUGGGAACACUUCUGAAAUCCAAGGGCCCACAUGCCAGCCGCAGGCCAUCCUCGUAAGCAGUCCUUUCUAAAGAUAGGGGUCUUGAGCCACCCUGUUAAUGCUUUUUUUUUCACAGACUGUCAACUUGGAAUUUUGUAAUCAAUAAAAGUACCCUUGAAGAAUGAAAGCAAAAUGAAGACAUUCCAAGCUAACAAAGUAGAGGGUCUGCCUCCAACAGAGCUGCAGUACAGAUGGAAAGCAAUCCAGAAAAAAGAUCGAAGGAAAGAAUGAAGAACACUUGUGGUGCGAAACAUAAUAAAAAUGUCUGCCAGGCUUAAAAUAACAAGAUGAACAACAAAAUAAGGGGGAGAGGAUGUGAGGUUAGUGUAUUCAAAUAUCCUUGCAUGAUGUGAAGGAUGGUAAAGCUAUUCACUAAUUUUGGACUUUAAUAAGUUAAUUGUGAAUGUCAAAAUACCUAAGGUAAAAAUUAUUAGACUAGAAAUAGAAAUCCCACACUUGUACAAAGGAAAAAAAAAGGAAUUCUAUAACAGUAUUUCACCAGUACAAAAGAAGCCAAAGAUGAAUAGAACUAGAAGAAAAGGCAAAAUAUAAAGCACAAAAGAAGAUGACCGAAGUAUUCCAAACGGGUCACUGAUUAUCAUGUAAAUUAUAAUAGAAUAUACAUAAUAUAAAUAACUGAAAUUUUUCACUUAAAAGAUUUAUAGUAAAGGAAUGCAAAAGGAUGUAUUUAGACAAACUAAGGAAAAGAAAGCAGAUGUGGCUAUGUUAUUAUCAGACCAAAUAGAAUUUAAGGCAAAAAAGCAUUACUAAAGAGGAUCACUCCAUUAUGAUAAAAGGUUUAAUUCACCAGAACAUGAAAUAAAUACAAACUUCUGUGAACCUAACUGAAUAGCAUAAAAUACUGUAUAUAAAUAAAAAAUGGGCAGAACUACAAGCAGGAAUUCACAAUGCUACUAUCUAUGGGAUAUUUUACACAUCACUUUCUGUAAUAUUUUGAUCAAGAUGUUACUAUAUUGACUAAACUUGGCAGCCAAAGGCAUUAUCUUUGGGGCAAAAAUGGAACAACAGUUGUGGAGCACACAUUGUUUUGAAUUUCACAUCGAGCUUUUACGAAAAAAGAUCCCACGUAACAUUGUUCACCAAAUCUCAAAGGAUUGGUGUCACUCCUUGACCAUAAUUCAAUUAAGUUAGAAAGUGUUAACCAAAAGAAAAGUAGAAAAACGCCAUAUUUGCAAAUUCAUGAAAUAACUUCUAUUUUAUUUUUAAGUAUGCUCCAUGUUCAACAUGGGGCUCAAACUCACCACCCUGAGAUCAAGUCACAGACUCUACCCCCUAAGCCAGCCAGGCAUCUCCUCAUGAAGUAACUUCUCAAUAUUCAUGUGUCAAAGAAGAAGUGGAAAUCAUUUAGGAUGCAGAAAUGAAAAACAAUGAUAAUGCUACCACAUCACAAACACUGUCUAGAUAUUAUAGCCCUAAAUGCUCAUGUUAGAGAAAAAUAAAGGCUAAAAGUGAAAGAUCCAUGUAAGUAACUUAAGUUACAAAAAGGACAAAAUACAUGAAUUUCUAGACGAUGAACUGCUGCAUUAAAGUUACUGGUAUUUUUCUUGGUUGUAUUAAAUCUUGCAGACAUGCUUUCCCAGUUUAUACUCCUAGUAGCUCUGGUUGGAGCAAAAUUUCUUACACUCUCACCAACUUUU